rnacentral:rRNA from 1 species
AUUAGGGAUCGGACAAUCUCAAUUAUUAUGUUUUUUCCGGCACCUUACGAGAAAUCAAAGUCUUUGGUUCUUGUGGUGAAUAUGGUCGCAAGGCUGAACUUAAAGGAAUUGACGGAAGGCACCACCAGUUGUGGAGCCUGCGGCUUAAUUUGACUCAACACGGGGAAACUCACCAGGUCCAGACAUAACUAGGAUUGACAGAUUGAUAGCUCUUUCAUGAUUUUAUGG